CCUACGGGAGGCAGCAGUGAGGAAUAUUGGUCAAUGGACGAGAGUCUGAACCAGCCAAGUAGCGUGAAGGAUGACUGCCCUAUGGGUUGUAAACUUCUUUUAUAAAGGAAUAAAACGAGGCACGUGUUCCUUUUUGCAUGUACUUUAUGAAUAAGGAUCGGCUAACUCCGUGCCAGCAGCCGCGGUAAUACGGAGGAUCCGAGCGUUAUCCGGAUUUAUUGGGUUUAAAGGGAGAGUAGAUGGGUUGUUAAGUCAGUUGUGAAAGUUUGCGGCUCAACCGUAAAAUUGCAAUUGAUACUGGAAGUCUUGAGUACAGUUGAGGUAGGCGGAAUUCGUGGUGUAGCGGUGAAAUGCUUAGAUAUCACGAAGAACCCCGAUUGCGAAGGCAGCUUACUAAACUGUGACUGACAUUGAUGCUCGAAAGUGUGGGUAUCAAACAGGAUUAGAUACCCUGGUAGUC
rnacentral:rRNA from 1 species